UUCUCAGCCGCAUCUCACCCCUUCUCCUCUCUCGCGGCCGCGCUGCUCACUCCCAAGAGACCCCAACCGCCAAUCUCCGAUGGCCUCACACUUCAGACCAACAUGCAAGCUUAUAAUCGGCCAAAGAACAUGACCCUCAACUUUCUGUCGACCAUAACGCCGGCAACGGCCCUUAUCUCUAUGGUAAACAGACCAUUCUCCCCUUUCGAUUUCUAAACCUCCUUCUCACCCUAGCAGCGAAUCAAGACCCUACGCCUCUCGAAACCAAACCACGAAUGCUCGCCUCCCGACGCUAGAUCCGAACCCACAAAGUAACUCGAAACAACUAAGUGGAGACCCGAACGGCUAUGAGACGAAACCGACGGGACUCCACCGGCCUCCGUACAACCGAGGGCACGGGUGACUGUUAUGUAGUUUAACGUGGGGUGCUUGGUUGUGGUGCCUCACAUGGGAGGCAUAGGUUGGUGGGUCCGGGUCGGGUUGUAAUUGGGUUUGGGGUUUGGGUCAAAUGCCCAUUUGUAAUUUGGCCUGAAAAAUACAAAUAAAACUUAAUUAAUAAUAAUAAUAAUAAUUAU